UACGGAGGGUGCGAGCGUUGUCCGGAAUCACUGGGCGUAAAGGGCGCGUAGGCGGCCUGGCAAGUCGAUGGUGAAAGCCCGAGGCUCAACUUCGGGUCGGCCACUGAUACUGCUAGGCUUGAGUCGACUAGAGGCAGAUGGAAUUCCGGGUGUAGCGGUGGAAUGCGUAGAGAUCCGGAAGAACACCGGUGGCGAAGGCGACUUACUGGACACAUAUUGACGCUGAGGUGCGAAAGCGUAGGGAGCAAACAGG
rnacentral:rRNA from 1 species